CUCCGUGUGUGAAGUGAUUACACUGACAAGCAGGAAGUUAGAGAGCCGUACACAGCUCUCGGUCUCAAAAAGCACCCAGGGGUCACAGGAGAGUGACUUCUCUCCCUUCCCAAAGACAGCACCUUCAAUAACCUGGGCCCUGCCUCUUAAAGAUGCCAGCAGCUCAGUACCGGCGCAGUGAGAGCCAAAUAGCCAGCGCAUUAAACCUUGUGAGACAAGCCGAAUCCAUCCCCCAGUAGGGCUUUUGCCACUCACCGAGCUGGAGCUAUCUAUAGGAAGAAUAGUUUUGAAUUUGGAGCUGGUCCUUUUCAACUUAAGACACUGUACUCUAUUUUUACCACCAUUUCUAAUAGCCAGUUAAGAAGAACAGCUAUGAAAGAAUUCCUGUUCCACCUUUGAGGAGAAGAGCCCUCAUGCAUCUCUAAAGAGAAGUGGAAUUGGUCGAUCUCAUUUGUUCUCUGGCAAAAGAGGACUCAGAUACAAGUGUGUCCCUCUCCAAAUUCCUGAAGUAACCUCCAUGGCAUUGCUUCUAUAGAUGUAGCCUGGUGUUUCCCUGCCCCUGAUGCAUCUGAGAAAUGAACUGCUCACUAACAAAAUGGAUUCUUGAGCCCCAUCUCAGACUUACUGAAUUUUCUAGGAAACUGAGCCUGAAGCAAAGCUUGCAUCCUGGUACUUUCUUGAGUGGCUGCAAACCCAGGACAGCAAGGAUUGAGAGAAAAAUGUAAGUGAGACCCAAAAAGAGGGAAAAGAAACACAAGGCAGCACAUUUGCAAGCUGACUGCAGUUCUGCAAGCAAAGAGCUCAAGUAAGUGAGCACCGGGGAUGAGGGGUGGUGGUGAAGGAGUUGAGAACAAUUCACCUUGAACGUGCUGAACUGGUAUACUGGUUAUUUCAGGCUGAAAACGUUGGAAAAGCUGUAGUUGACCUGCCUUUCCAUGCUGUGAAGUCCCUUGAGAGAGGUCCCUCCCCCAUACCCAGGGGAGAGCGUAGUUCUGAUCACCAGAGACUGGGCAUGGGUUGCUUCAACGGAUCUGAAUAAAUAAAUCACUAAAGCAACCCUGGCUGUCCUCUAGCUUUUCACCUCCCCAUACGUCUUCUGUUGACCACCCUAGGACUUACUGCUCCUAUUCCACAACCCUUAGUUCUGUAAUUUUCUCAUAAAUCUAUUGUUCUUUAUCUACAAGACGGCAGAGCUUCCUGCUUUGGCCAUUUCUUUGGCCUUUCACUCCCCUGUGAAAGCCUCCAUGCAUAUGGAUACCAAUAUUGAUAAAACUUGUAUGUUUUCUUCCUGCUAAUAUGCUUGUGACUGUGGUUCCUAAACCCAGCUGAAGAUCCCAUCUAAGAACUUAGAUGGGUAGAGAUGAUGUUCGUCUUCUCUACAGUGGGAAUGGGGAAAAAAGGCUGGCGUGUGCAGUCUCUUAUCAAUGUUUGCCCCAUAGGGCAUCAACUGCCCUAUACUUCUGGGUUGCACCACCCUGCACAGCUGGCGGGGAAGGCACGUCCAGUGGCAUGAUGUUUCAUCUGGGCCUAAAAGAGGAGAGUAUCAUGACUUCCAGACCUGGCCACCAGUGCAAUCAUGGCCUUCACUCAGCCUGCAUUCUGGUGGAGGACAAGGUAGGCAGUGUUGUCAGGGAUAAGGCAAUGGAGGUAGCAGCCAGGGUAUGCCAAGGAGCCAGUCACUGAGGUCCCGGAGGGUCAGGUACAGAAAAGCAAUUUUGGAAGUAAUAAUAGAUAUGGAUACAGAUAUAAUAGUGCAUGGUUACAUAUAAAAGUAUCCUUUUGCUGUGUUACACCCCUUCAUGGUUUUUAUUUGAGUUUAAUCAUUUAUGUGAUUUUUCCUUUUGCUAUUCAGAAAUGUUUGAUUUUUAUGUGACUGAAUACCAGUCCUUUUUUUAUGAUUUCAGCCUUUCCUCUGAGAUUAUGAAGUGAACUUGCCUAUGUUUUCUUCUUGCGCUUAUGGGAUUCCAUUAUUAAAGUUUAUAAAUAUCUCUGAUAUCUAGAUUUUACUUUGAUGUAAAGACAUACAGUAUGGCCCAACUUUAUUUUAUUUUCCAAAUGACCAAAGAACUUUCCCUGAAAGGCAACCUUUAUUAUAUACUAAAUUAACUUAUUUUUGAAGACUUCUUCCCCUGCUUUCACCUGUAGGGUCUGAGAUUUACUAGGUAUAAGAAAUGAUGUAUGAGAUGAAUCAUGCUGUGAAAGCUGGGCAUUGUCCCACACUAUUGUCCGCUCCAUUAAGGCCAAUAGUGGCCAAGUAACAGGCAGAUAAAACACGAUUAAUAAUGCACUUUGUAAUACUAUGUCCAAAGUUUCAUCGCCUUAAUCUCACCAAGAUGUUGCUAGUUACGGAGAUAUUGCCCCAUCUUGACAUACUGUGGUUUGAAUUAUAGCUUCCUUCCCUGGAGGGUGUUGUAAAACAUAAUUCACUUUUAGACGUGUUAUUUUUACUUGGCAUGGUCUGUGAGAUCUCCUCAAAGGUCUUUAAAGUAAAAAAAAAAAAAUCUAG